UAGAAUUAAACUUAAAUAUUUCUUACGGAGUCUAUUAAUGUAAAUUCCAUUGAGAACCGACGAGAAUCGCGCAACAGUCUCUGGAGUUAGAGCUCUUCGUUAACUGUUGACUAAGAUGGCGGCACAUGGGAUCUGAUGCCAAGGAGUCCGUACAAUUUGGUGGUGGUUCUCUGUGAAGGUAAAAAAGGAAGCUCCUACAGUUGGAUUGAUAGGACGAUUUACAGCAUUCUCGAUAUAUCUUCUCACAAUACUCGUCUUUCCGACACCUAAACGAAAAUAAACGUUUAUUUUCCCAUCAUGUUUUCAAUGUUAAACUAUAUAUGAAUUAGAGAUCUACACGCAUAAAUUUUAUUCGUGUAGAUUUCGAUACACACAGUGCCACGUUAUACGAGUUUCGAAACUAACCUAUAAAAAGAUGAUCGAAGUAAUAAGAAAGAAAGAUUUUAAUAAAAAUCAUUCGAGUUUUACGAGAAUAUAUAAAAAUCAUAUAUUUAAAUACGGAACGAUGAGAAAAUUAUAUUUACCAGUGUGCACACGUACCCAUUGAUAUCAUUAAAUUAUUCUUAAGUGAUGUAAUUGGUAAUAAAAACAUCGAAGACUUGUAUUA